UUUAAAACAGCGGGACACGUUCGACGAAUAACCGAAGACGGUGCCGCUACAGACGACCGUUCGGGUACCAGACGGACUCCGAUUGCGAUGAAACUUGACAGGCGACCUACCUAUAUUAAAAUACGACCGCACGUCAAAUAUCAACCCAACCAGAGAAGGUUUUACGCACACUUUUAAAACAGGGUUUGACGGUGACGCGGGCGCGUGCGUGUGCGGUCGGGCUCAGAACGGAAAAUGACGAGAACCGGUAGCUAACAACGGAUGCAAGUUUUGAAAACUGGCAGAAACGAAGAUGCCGAUGCAAUGCUGAUGAUGCGCAUGAUGCGAUGAUGAUGCGACAGAAGAAAAAUAGACACACGGCGAAAACGGAAAGAAAAGGGGAAUCUUCUGGAACGUCGGCAUUGGGCUCUCACAAGUCUCCUACACUACAAGAGGAUCUCGCCCCGAGAUCCAAGAAUGAAAGGGGGAAGAGGAUGAGAAAGAACAAGAGGUAAAACUUAGUCGCUUCUUUGACAAACAAGUGAAACCAACGAUCCUUGAAGGUUGCAAAGAGAUGAGGAAUGAUAUGAGAAGGAAGCAAGAAUUCAUGGAAAAUUUCGGCAGCACUUCGGUAGGAAAAUGGGACAAUUUUUUUCCGAUAAGAUGGUAGAAUUAGACAAUAUUCACAACAAACAAGUAAAUAGAAUAAGGGAACACCAUGAUCUUGGUAGAACAACAUAAUAGACCCAAGAGAAACAUCACAAGCCUCCGGAAAAAGAGAAUAUGAACUAGCUCAAGCGGCAGAAGAGAAUGAAGAAAAGAAUGACAACUAUCAUCACACUAGAAUUGAAGAGCCUCCGGACAAAGAAUAGACCUAGUAGUUGGAAAACCAACAACUAAAAAUAACAAGAUAGCAGUGGACUUAUGAAAAUCAUCUCAACAUUUAUGAGGUGACAACCACCCACUAAUAGAAACAAGGAUAGGUUGGGAGAAACAAGAUAUGAACAAUUCCUUACACCAAGAGGAUACGAUGAGAACUAGGAUUAAUGACAAGCACCAUGAUAG
rnacentral:lncRNA from 1 species